UAACGAAUCUUCCGCAAUGCCCGCAAGGGUGACGGAGCGACGCCGCGUGGAGGACGAAGUCCUUCGGGAUGUAAACUCCUGUCAGGGGCUACCAAGUUCUGAGGGGCCCCAGAGGAAGGCACGGCUAACUCUGUGCCAGCAGCCGCGGUAAGACAGAGGUGCCGAGCGUUAGGCGGAAUCACUGGGCUUAAAGCGUGUGUAGGCGGGCCGUUAAGUGCCCCGUGAAAUCCCCCGGCUCAACCGGGGAACGGCGGGGCAUACUGGCGGCCUUGAGCCACUUAAGGGCAGACGGAACAAGCGGUGGAGCGGUGAAAUGCGUAGAUAUCGCUUGGAACGCCGACGGCGAAAGCAGUCUGCUGGGGGUGUGCUGACGCUGAGACACGAAAGCCAGGGGAGCGAACGGGAUUAGAUACCCGCGUAGUCC
rnacentral:rRNA from 1 species